AGUGCCUCUACCAUGAGUUGCCAUCGAAAACUUGUAUUCGUAUACUACAGUCGAUAGAGUUUAAACGUGGAUCGAUGAAGUUUGCAUUAAAAUCAUACCAUGAGUUCAAUUACCGUAUACUUUACUCGCCAGCGAUAAUUCGAUGGUUUUGUGAUGUCAUGUUGGUGAACAUGUAAACGUAUCCAACUUCACACUCUAUGAAUGGAUGAAUGAAAGAACGAAUGCCGCUCCUUUCUAACUAUAUAGAAAAGAUAGAGUAGGAAAUAACAAAAAUGUCAAAAAUAACACUGCAAAAUUUAAGUGUCCUAGAACAGUGCUUAAAGCUGAAUUAACAUGAUGAUUUUAAAUUUGUAUUGUUUAUUUCUUGUCAUUGCGACUUUGACGCAGCUGUUGUCAUGACAACAGAUAACAAAACAUGUUUUGUUGAAGGAUUAUUGAUGAUUAAUUUUCCACAAAAAAUUUGAUUUUAACCACGAUAGGAAAAUGAGAACCUGCGCCUAUCCGUUUAAACCGAUUGUAGAAUUUAUGGAAAGAUAUGGCGAUCUGAGUAUGCCAACUGAAGGGCCCCAAGAAAGAGCCAACAAUAGUCAACGGUGGGUGGAACUAACGGACACGCAAACGUGAAAUGCUGACACGAAAACUACUGAGAAAUUGAGAAAAGUGUGGAGUGACAGCAAGAAGAAGGCAACUCGCAUACACAGAGCUGCCAAGGGAACACUGGACUGGUGGCGGUCCAUGUUCUUCCCUGAAGCCAAAGGAUUUAGAGCAGAGUGCUUGUAAAUAACAACUUGUAAAUUAAAUCCAUAAUAAAGACCUAGGGUAACUGGAUGGAUAUACCUACGUUAUUAUUGUAAAACUUAAAGAUAUUAUAAUUAAU